AUGGGGUGCAGCAGGGGCGAAAACUUUACAAUGCGGGAAACCGCGAUAGGGGGAUACCGAGUGCCAGCAUAUUAUGUUGGCUGUCCACAUGUGUAAACGGCAUGUGUUAGCAAGGGCCGGGCAAGACCGGUGCCAGCCGCCGCGGUAACACCGGCGGCCCGAGUGGUAAUCACUUUUAUUGGGUCUAAAGGGUCCGUAGCCGGUUUGAUCAGUUCUUCGGGAAAUCUGACAGCUCAACUGUUAGGCUUCCGGGGAAUACUGUCAGACUUGGGACCGGGAGAGGUAAGAGGUACUACAGGGGUAGGAGUGAAAUCUUGUAAUCCCUGUGGGACCACCAGUGGCGAAGGCGUCUUACCAGAACGGGUCCGACGGUGAGGGACGAAAGCUGGGGGCACGAACCGGAUUAGAUACCCGGGUAGUCCCAGCCGUAAACGAUGUUCGCUAGGUGUCAGGGACGGUGCGACCGUUUCUGGUGCCGUAGGGAAGCCGUGAGGCGAACCACCUGGGAAGUACGGCCGCAAGGCUGAAACUUAAAGGAAUUGGCGGGGGAGCAC
rnacentral:rRNA from 1 species